AUGGGGAGCAGCAGGGGCGAAAACUCCGCAAUGCACGAAAGUGUGAUGGGGUCAACCCGAGUGCCAAUUGAAAAAGUUGGCUUUUCACCGGUCUAAACAGCCGGUGGAAUAAGGGGAGGGGAAGGCUGGUGCCACCCGCCGCGGUAAAACCAGCUCCUCGAGUAGUCAAGACGAUUAUUGGGCCUAAAGCGUCCGUAGCCGGCCUAAUAAGUCUCUGGUUAAAUCUAACGGCUCAACCGUUAGACUGCUAGAGAUACUGUUGGACUCGGAGGCGGGAUAGGUCGAGGGUACUCUCAGGGUAGGGGUGAAAUCCUAUAAUCCUGAGGGGACCACCAGUGGCGAAGGCGCUCGACUGGAACGCGCUCUACGGUGAGGGACGAAAGCCAGGGGAGCGAACCGGAUUAGAUACCCGGGUAGUCCUGGCUGUAAACGAUGUGGACUAAGUGUUAGGGCGGCCACGAGCUGUCCUAGUGCUGGAGGGAAGCCGUUAAGUCCACCGCCUGGGGAGUACGGCCGCAAGGCUGAAAU
rnacentral:rRNA from 1 species